AAAAGACUGGCAUUAAAUUAUAUUUACUUUUUUUAUUUUUAUAGAUGAAGAUAUCUCGACAAGUGGUACAGUGACGUUAAUAUUAGAUGGCGGUACAACGUUAAUAUUGAAUGGCACUAACAAUACUGAAACGCUUCAGGAUGGACGUAAUGAAGUCUUAAAAUACGCCAUUGGAGGUGGUGCUGGUGGAGUCGUGUGUUUGGUAUUUGUUGUUGGUUUCUUCCUAUUCCAUUUCAUGAAGAAACAUCAACAGGAGAUAGAGAUAGAGACCACGUUUGGCACUGGUGAAUCGGAAAUACCCUCAGCUGGUGGCAUUGAUAACUUGCAGCCAAUAGACACUAACGUGGCACUUCAGGGUUUUAAAGAAAAAUCCGAAGAGUAAAACAAACAAAAAUAACAUUUUGUUAAUUUAAUUAUUUUACACGAUAAUAAAACUUUAUGGUUUAUGUAUGUCAUGAAAUUAGUGUAGAAUAUGUUUCUUGGUACAGAGAUUACUAAUACAUGAACGUUUUUUAUCUUAUUCUUGUAAAAGACACUGCCAAACUACUGCUAAUACUGAGUGGCGUAACGAUGGGGCCGGGGGCCCUGCGUAUUUCUGAAACUGGUGGCCCUUUUUAUGUCCGGUCACCAAUUCCAUCGUGGGAUUUUAGAUGUGCAUUGUCAUUCUAAAUGUUGUUAACGACAAAUAAAUGAUAUAAUAUGGAUCCAGAAAAUUUAGGCCAGGGAGGGACUUUCACAGUUGGAGAGUCUAUACCACCUCAGACCCACCAUUGUUGGGGGUAAGAAAAUUUAUGAAU